AUCCAGCUGACAAGUUGCAAAUAAGACUAAACCCGCAUCCUGCAU
rnacentral:hammerhead_ribozyme from 1 species